rnacentral:rRNA from 1 species
GAUGAACGCUGGCGGCGUGCCUAAUACAUGCAAGUCGAGCGAACAGACCAGGCUCUUGCUCCUCUCACGUUUGCGGCGGACGGGUGUAUCACACGUGUAUAACCCCCCUAUCAUUCUGGUAUAACUUCGGGAAACCGGCUCUUAUACCGUAUGAUCUAUUGCACCGCAUUGGUCAAUAGUGAAUUACGGCGUUUGUGGCUCGUCUAGCUGGAUCCGGGCCGCAUUAGAUAGUUGGUAGGGUAACGGCUUACCAAGGGAACGAUGCGUAGGCGACCUGACAGACUGAUCGGCGACACUGGAGGUGGGACGCGGUCCAGAGUCCUACGGGAGGGAGCAGUCGGGAAUCUUACGCAAUAGGCGGGAGCAUGACGGAGCAAGGGCGCGUGAGUGACGACGGUGUUCGGAUCGUAAAACUCUGUUAUGAGGGAAGAACAAAUGUGUAAGUAGAUGUGCAGGUCUUGACGGUACCGAGUAAGAAAGCAACGGCUAACUACGUG